ensembl:lncRNA
GGAAAAUCAAAGCAGAGCACAGGCUGCGAGGAGGGAUGUGAGCACACGGCAGUCCCUGUGUGCAGGGCAGCAGGGAUGGGGCUGUGCAAUGUGUUGGGAGUGGGCAGCAGCAAGCUGCAUGUGUAGCUCUAUUUCCUGGCUCCCGGAUUUGCUUUCGGAUGGGGAAGUCGGAAUGGGGAUGUUUUCUUUUAGGUUACAGUUUCAUUUGUUUUGCAGGAUUUCUGCUGAAGAGCCGUUUCUGUCAUUGAUAAUGGACUGGAAAAAAAGCAUCAGUGCAUCAUCCAAAGUGUUUAAUCGCCUGUACUCAUCAUGGUCAGUCAAGCACUCGGCCAUUAUAAUGAAGGGUUAGAAGUUAUCUAUAGAAUAAUCAAUGUAUCAUGUACUGCACUAAGAAUGUUCCUUUUUUUUCCCCAUCAAGACUAGCUUUGGCAGUUCAAUGGGCUAUGCAUGUUAUGAAAUAUUUUACACACAUUCUGUACUUUCUGUCCACCACUUCUUCUGCUGGGUAGCCCCCAUCUCUACCAGCCUCCUGUCCCUGCUUGGGCUCUGUUGCUGGUGGUCCAGGGAGCCAUGCUUUAGCAUAGGGCAGGAUUUCUGGAGUGAAGUCAAGCAAGAAGAGACCGAGAGGAACAGUGCUUGCAUGGAAAGGUAGAAAUCAUAAAAGAGAAAUGUUUGAUGCCAUCCAGGUGUUGGUGCAUCCAUCAAUGAUGAGAGCUCAGCAGCAUCUAGGAUCCAUGCAGGUCAAUGACUGUGCCUUUGGUUAGCUGAGGAGCUCUUCCAACCUGAGCUGCAUUUUGUGCUUGUCAGCCAGUGACUAAUUGGUGGAUCAGUUGCUGCUUGCAGUCUUCUUACACCUGGCUACAGAAGCUGGAUGACUGUAGUCAGUCUACUGCAUAUUGUCUGAGAGCAUUCUCUGCCUUCAGUCCCUCCCUAGAAAUUGGUACCCAACUGUUUUCCCUAAAGUUGUUUGAGAAAGAUUUGCCUCCUGUGAAGUGUCACCAUGGAAGAGGAAGGAUGACCUGGCUGGUGCCCACCUGGUGUCACAUUCCUGGCUUCUGACCUCGAGGUGGGCAGUGCUGACUGCUGGGACUUCAGUAGGAACGAGCAAACAAGCCUGUGACCUAAAUUAUGAGCAGAAGAUAUUAAGCCUGGAUUUUAACUUAAGAGCUGACUACACCCACAGGACAAAUUAAAACACUGUGUUGUUUUUCCACUGAAGCUGGAAUUCCUUCACCACAAAUUCUGUUGGAUUUUGUGUGUUCUGGCAUGAAUAUUGGAGUGCCCAACCACUUAUCUGCGCUGGGUUUGCAGCUCCCUGCCUGCCACCAGUGCUGACUUCU